GACCUCCAUUCAAGGAGAAUCAUUUCUAUAGUAAUCGACCUAUCUCUUGGUUCCCCAAAAGAGCCACAGAAUCCACCCUGGUUGAUGAUUGCAUAUCCUCGACACCCUAGAGUGAAUACUUUUCUUCUGGUCCUCUCGAACUGUCCGCAAGGAUGGCGGCUUUGGCUCUUGGGUCUCUGCUGUAUAGAGAGAUGUGCAAGUCAGUGAUUGGCCAGCCUCUGGCUGGUUCAUGUCGACUUGCCUCGUUUCUUGAUGAUCUCGACCCUGUCGGCGGUCUGCCUUCGGGCGCGCUAGCAGGGUGGGUGUUGAUGGACGUCUGACAGGC
rnacentral:snoRNA from 1 species